AGAGUUUGAUUCUGGCUCAGGAUGAACGCUAGCUACAGGCUUAACACAUGCAAGUCGAGGGGAAACGACAUCGAAAGCUUGCUUUUGAUGGGCGUCGACCGGCGCACGGGUGAGUAACGCGUAUCCAACCUGCCCACCACUUGGGGAUAACCUUGCGAAAGUAAGACUAAUACCCAAUGACGUCUCUAGAAGACAUCUGAAAGAGAUUAAAGAUUUAUCGGUGAUGGAUGGGGGAUGCGUCUGAUUAGCUUGUUGGCGGGGUAACGGCCACCAAGGCGACGAUCAGUAGGGGUUCUGAGAGGAAGGUCCCCACAUUGGAACUGAGACACGGUCCAAACUCCUACGGGAGGCGA
rnacentral:rRNA from 1 species